UACGUAGGUGACAAGCGUUGUCCGGAUUUACUGGGCGUAAAGAGCGCGCAGGCGGUCGUUCAAGUCGAGUGUGAAAGCCCCCGGCUCAACUGGGGAGGGUCAUUCGAUACUGAUCGACUCGAAGGCAGGAGAGGGUAGUGGAAUUCCCGGUGUAGUGGUGAAAUGCGUAGAUAUCGGAAGGAACACCAGUGGCGAAGGCGGCUACCUGGCCUAAUACUGACACUGAGGCACGAAAGCGUGGGGAGCAAACAGG
rnacentral:rRNA from 1 species